CACCGCGUAGCUCAGUUGGCAGAGCAUUGGGCUAGUAUUCCAAAGGUCGUAGGUUCGAUUCCCACCGUGGCCA